GAUGAACGCUGGCGGCGUGCCUAAUACAUGCAAGUCGAGCGAACAGACGAGGAGCUUGCUCCUCUGACGUUAGCGGCGGACGGGUGAGUAACACGUGGAUAACCUACCUAUAAGACUGGGAUAACUUCGGGAAACCGGAGCUAAUACCGGAUAAUAUAUUGCACCGCAUGGUUCAAUAGUGAAAGACGGUUUUGCUGUCACUUAUAGAUGGAUCCGCGCCGCAUUAGCUAGUUGGUAAGGUAACGGCUUACCAAGGCAACGAUGCGUAGCCGACCUGAGAGGGGGAUCGGCCACACGGGAACUGAGACACGGUCCAGACUCCUACGGGAGGCAGCAGUAGGGAAUCUUCCGCAAAGGGCGAAAGCCUGACGGAGCAACGCCGCGUGAGUGAUGAAGGUCUUCGGAUCGUAAAACUCUGUUAUUAGGGAAGAACAAAUGUGUAAGUAACUAUGCACGUCUUGACGGUACCUAAUCAGAAAGCCACGGCUAACUACGUG
rnacentral:rRNA from 1 species